AGUCUGAUGGAGCACGCCGCGUGAGUGAAGAAGGUUUUCGGAUCGUAAAACUCUGUUGUUGGAGAAGAAUGUAUUUGAUAGUAACUGAUCAGGUAGUGACGGUAUCCAACCAGAAAGCCACGGCUAACUACGUGCCAGCAGCCGCGGUAAUACGUAGGUGGCAAGCGUUGUCCGGAUUUAUUGGGCGUAAAGCGAGCGCAGGCGGUUUUUUAAGUCUGAUGUGAAAGCCUUCGGCUCAACCGAAGAAGUGCAUCGGAAACUGGGAAACUUGAGUGCAGAAGAGGACAGUGGAACUCCAUGUGUAGCGGUGAAAUGCGUAGAUAUAUGGAAGAACACCAGUGGCGAAGGCGGCUGUCUGGUCUGUAACUGACGCUGAGGCUCGAAAGCAUGGGUAGCAAACAGGAUUAGAUACCCUGGUAGUCCAUGCCGUAAACGAUGAGUGCUAGGUGUUGGAGGGUUUCCGCCCUUCAGUGCCGCAGCUAACGCAUUAAGCACUCCGCCUGGGGAGUACGACCGCAAGGUUGAAACUCAAAGGAAUUGACGGGGGCCCGCACAAGCGGUGGAGCAUGUGGUUUAAUUCGAAGCAACGCGAAGAACCUUACCAGGUCUUGACAUCCUUUGACCACUCUAGAGAUAGAGCUUUCCCUUCGGGGACAAAGUGACAGGUGGUGCAUGGUUGUCGUCAGCUCGUGUCGUGAGAUGUUGGGUUAAGUCCCGCAACGAGCGCAACCCUUAUUACUAGUUGCCAGCAUUCAGUUGGGCACUCUAGUGAGACUGCCGGUGACAAACCGGAGGAAGGUGGGGGACGACGUCAAAUCAUCAUGCCCCUUAUGACCUGGGCUACACACGUGCUACAAUGGAUGGUACAACGAGUUGCGAGACCGCUAGGUUUAGCUAAUCUCUUAAACCAUUCUCAGUUCGGAUUGUA
rnacentral:rRNA from 1 species